ACUCCUACGGGAGGCAGCAGUGGGGAAUAUUGGACAAUGGGCGCAGCCUGAUGCAGCCAUGCCGCGUGAGUGAUGAAGGUCUUAGGAUUGUAAAAUCUCUUUCACCGGGGACGAUAAUGACGGUACCCGGAGAAGAAGCCCCGGCUAACUUCGUGCCAGCAGCCGCGGUAAUACGAAGGGGGCUAGCGUUGUUCGGAAUUACUGGGCGUAAAGCGC
rnacentral:rRNA from 1 species